AAAAAAAAAAAAUUUCAAAUACCAUCCAUGUGGUUUUGUAUUUUUUUCAUUUUAAUAUUUUAUGGUUGAAAGUGUAUCAUUUUCAUACUCUAUGAUUUUAUUUUUUUAUUUUUUUGUUAUUUUCUACACUAAUUUUUUUCGUUAAAUCAGUGAUAAAGUUAAAAUUAAAGAAUACUCAAGUGAAUGUUCGACAAACUAUAAGUAAGAUAUAUGAAGUUUUUUAUAUAUAAUUUAACGAAAAAAUUAAUAAAAAGGCUGACGAAAAGGAAAAAGUAAAAUCACAUGUUAUAUUUUAAAUUAUAAGAUAUUAAAAUAAAAAAAAGUGAAAUUACAUAAGUGGCAUUUAAAGUUUAUUCAAAAAAAAAAAAA
rnacentral:lncRNA from 1 species